rnacentral:rRNA from 1 species
UAUUGCACAAUGGGGGAAACCCUGAUGCAGCGACGCAGCGUGCGGGAUGACGGCCUUCGGGUUGUAAACCGCUUUCAGCAGGGAAGANGCCUUUAUCGGUGACGGUACCUGCAGAAGAAGUACCGGCUAACUACGUGCCAGCAGCCGCGGUAAUAU